AUGUCCCCACCAAGCACCACCCGUCCGCCACCGCCACCGCCUCCCUCUCCCUCUCCACCUGCGCGUGCCGCCUCCCCCAGUGCCCCGUCCCCCUCGCCGUCUCCUCCGGCUGACAGGGUCGGCCCUGCGGCGCCGACGCGGGGCGAUGUGUACCUGGGGCGGCAGCUUGCGGCCGCGGCCACGGCGGGCGCCCGCACGCGCGCGCCGGAGGAGGACAUCGAGAGGCGCCGCCGCCGCAAGGAGAAGCGGAGGGCCCUGGCCAAGAAGAUGACCCCAACACACACACUCCCGCUCCCAUCCUCUUCUCCCGGGAUGCAAGCAGCUGUAAGGAAGGGCGCGGCGGCGGCGACGGCAGCGUCGGCGUCGUUCCACUCCACCGCCGCGGCGCUCUCAAAAUCCAUGAAGAAGAGGCACAACCAACUGAAGACCGUGCUAUGCGGGCGGUGCAAGCUGCUGUCGCACGGAAGGCGAGAUGACAUCGUCGCUUUGACUCAAACGAACCGUCAGCUCGGCCGCCGCCUACUGCAACAAUUGACCUCCAUACAAAAACCUGAUCUUUGUUUUCUUUUUCACAAGAAGCUAUUUUUGGCUUACAUGAAGGGAUGCAUGCUCUUCAUCUUGCAGUGUUUUGUUUGA
rnacentral:rRNA from 1 species